rnacentral:tRNA from 1 species
GGGCCUGUAGCUCAGUUGGUUAGAGCAGCCGGCUCAUAACCGGCCGGUCGGAGGUUCGAGUCCUCCCGGGCCCACCA